UACGAAGGGGGCUAGCGUUGCUCGGAAUCACUGGGCGUAAAGGGUGCGUAGGCGGGUCUUUAAGUCAGGGGUGAAAUCCUGGAGCUCAACUCCAGAACUGCCUUUGAUACUGAAGAUCUUGAGUCCGGGAGAGGUGAGUGGAACUGCGAGUGUAGAGGUGAAAUUCGUAGAUAUUCGCAAGAACACCAGUGGCGAAGGCGGCUCACUGGCCCGGUACUGACGCUGAGGCACGAAAGCGUGGGGAGCAACAGG
rnacentral:rRNA from 1 species